GAUGAACGCUGGCGGCGUGCCUAACACAUGCAAGUCGAGCGGCAGCGAGGGGUGCUUGCACCCUGUCGGCGAGCGGCGGACGGCUGAGUAACGCGUGGGAACGUGCCCCAAGGUGAGGAAUAACUGCCCGAAAGGGUAGCUAAUACCGCAUAUUAUCUUCGGAUCAAAGGAUUUAUCCGCUUUGGGAGCGGCUCGCGCCGGAUUAGGUAGUUGGUGAGGUAAUGGCUCACCAAGCCGACGAUCCGUAGCUGGUCUGAGAGGAUGACCAGCCAGACUGGAACUGAGACACGGUCCAGACUCCUACGGGAGGCAGCAGUGAGGAAUCUUCCACAAUGGGCGAAAGCCUGAUGGAGCAACGCCGCGUGCAGGACGAAGGCCUUCGGGUUGUAAACUGCUUUUAUAAGUGAGGAAUAUGACGGUAACUUAUGAAUAAGGAUCGGCUAACUACGUG
rnacentral:rRNA from 1 species